AUUGAACGCUGGCGGCAGGCCUAACACAUGCAAGUCGAGCGAGCGGCGGACGGGAGAGUAAUGUAUGGGGACUGCACGAUAGAGGGGGAUAACUACUGGAAACGGUAGCUAAUACCGCAUACUAUCGGAUGACCCAUAUGGGAUUAGCUAGUAGGUGAGGUAGAGGCUCAACAAGGCAACGAUCCGUUGCUGGGUUGAGAGGACGACCAGCCACACUGGGACUGAGACACGGCCCAGACUCCUACGGAGGCAGCAGUGGGGAAUUUUGGACAAUGGGGGAAACCCUGAUCCAGCCAUCCCGCGUGUAUGAUGAAGGCCUUCGGGUUGUAAAGUACUUUUGGCAGAGAAGCGGUAUCUGCAGAAGAAGCACCGGCUAACUCAGUGCCAGCAGCCGCGGUAAUAC
rnacentral:rRNA from 1 species